rnacentral:rRNA from 1 species
CGCUAGCUCCAUGAUUAACACAUGCAAGUCGAGGGGCAGCGCAGUGUACCCUUACAUGGGCGGCGACCGGCGCACGGGUGCGUAACGCGUAUCCAACCUUCCCGUUACUCAGGGAUAGCCUUCCGAAAGGGAGAUUAAUACCUGAUGGUGUUUGAAUUCCGCAUGUUAUUCAAACUAAAGAUUUAUCGGUAACGGAUGGGGAUGCGUGACAUUAGGUAGAUGGCGGGGUAACGGCCCACCAUGCCUACGAUGUCUAGGGGUUCUGAGAGGAAGGUCCCCCACACUGGAACUGAGACACGGUCCAGACUCCUACGGGAGGCAGCAGUGAGGAAUAUUGGUCAAUGGUCGGAAGACUGAACCAGCCAAGUAGCGUGAAGGAUGAAGGUUCUAUGGAUUGUAAACUUCUUUUAUACGGGAAUAAAACCACCUACGUGUAGGUGCUUGUAUGUACCGUAUGAAUAAGCAUCGGCUAACUCCGUGCCAGCAGCCGCGGUAAUACGGAGGAUGCGAGCGUUAUCCGGACUUAUUGGGUUUAAAGGGAGCGUAGACGGGAUGUUAAGUCAGUUGUGAAAGGCUGCGGCUCAACCGCAGCACUGCAGUUGAUACUGGCGUCCUUGAGUGCGGUUGAGGUAUGUGGAAUUCGUGGUGUAGCGGUGAAAUGCUUAGAUAUCACGAAGAACUCCGAUUG